GACGAACGCUGGCGGCGUGCUUAACACAUGCAAGUCGAGCGGAGCGGCGCACGGGUGGGUAACGCGUGAGUAUCUAACCCCCUCUCUGGGACAGCAGUUGGAAACGGCUGCUAAUACCGGAUAGUGGGGGAUGACUCGCGUCCUAUCAGCUUGGUGGUGGGGUAGUGGCUUACCAAGGAGACGACGGGUAGCCGGCCUGAGAGGGCGACCGGCCACAUUGGGCUGAGAUACGGCCCAAACUCCUACGUGAGGCAGCAGGGGGGAAGAUUGCACAAGGGGGGAAACCCUGAUACAGCGACGCCGCGGGCGGGAUGACGGCCUUCGGGUUGUAAACCGCUUUCAUCCAUGACGCGGUAGUUGCAGAAGAAGCACCGGCUAACUACGUGCCAGCCGCCGCGGUAAUAC
rnacentral:rRNA from 1 species